rnacentral:rRNA from 1 species
AUGCAGUUGGUCACGGGUGGCCACACUUCUGUUUCGGUCAAAGGGGACAUUAGUCACUUCUUCGCCAACUGCAGGGGCCUGAGGCAGGGUGACCCGGCCUCCCCCCUUCUCUUCAACUUUGUCGCUGAUGCUCUCUCUCAUAUUCUGACUCGGGCUGUCGCUGCUGGCCACAUCACUCCUGUCAGCUCUCACCUUGUCCCUAAUGGCAUCUCUCACUUACAAUAUUCGGAUGAUACUAUCAUUAUGGUUGAACUAAAUGAGGCUAGCAUAACCCACCUGAAAUUCCUGCUCCUUUGCUUCGAAGCUCUCUCUGGUCUUAAAAUUAAUUUCGCCAAGAGUGAAGUCAUUGUUACUGGGGUCUCGGACGUUGAGGCCCAAAGAGUUGCCCACCUCCUUAACUGCUCCCUAGGCUCCUUUCCUUUCAAAUAUCUCGGCCUUCCGAUCUCUCCUGACAAGCUGCUGGCUAAAGAUUUUGCUCCGGCUGUCACUAAGGUGGGCAAUCGGGUCUUGCCGUGGAGAGGCUGA